GCCAUGCUACCCUGAACGAGCUCGAUCUCAUCCCAUCUCGGAAGCUAAGCAGGGUCGGGCCUGGUUAGUACUUGGAUGGGAGACCACCUAAAAAGACCAGGUGC
rnacentral:rRNA from 1 species